UGAAAGCAUUUUUUGAAACAUCUCUCUUCAUUCCUUAUCAAAUAUUUUUCAUACUGAACUUUCAAACCAUCUAAUAUUAAUUCAUUCUUAAAUUCAUGACCUAUUUUUUUAGAUCUUUUAAAUUCGAUUGCAUAGAAGCCUUCUCAAUUCUUUCCUCAAAAUCAAAUGGUAGUAGUAAUGCCACUGGUUUAAUCUUUUUUGCAAUAGUUUUAUAUGUUGUAUUCACCUCCACCUCAUAUUUAUCUAUAUAUUCUUUCAUUACAUCAUAAAAUUACUUAGAAUUCAUAUUUAUUAUAUUAUCAAAAUCUAAAUCCAAUAACAU
rnacentral:lncRNA from 1 species